UACGGGGGGGGGCAAGCGUUGUUCGGAAUUACUGGGCGUAAAGAGUUCGUAGGCGGUUUGUCGCGUCGUUCGUGAAAACUUGGGGCUUAACUCCAAGCGUGCGGGCGAUACGGGCAGACUUGAGUACUACAGGGGAGACUGGAAUUCCUGGUGUAGCGGUGAAAUGCGCAGAUAUCAGGAGGAACACCGGUGGCGAAGGCGGGUCUCUGGGUAGUAACUGACGCUGAGGAACGAAAGCGUGGGUAGCGAACAGG
rnacentral:rRNA from 1 species